GAUCGCCGUGACGACUCAGUAAAAUUCAAGCUCAACAGACCGGAUUGCAGAGUAAUUUCCUCUUUCUUCCUUGAAUGAGUGAAACGUCUUUGCAUGUCGACUACCCCGCUGAACUGAGCCAUC
rfam:Cucumis sativus cultivar 9930 chromosome 5, whole genome shotgun sequence.